rnacentral:misc_RNA from 1 species
ACGUCAUCCCCACCUUCCUCCGGUUUGUCACCGGCAGUCUCCUUAGAGUGCUCUUGCGUAGCAACUAAGGACAAGGGUUGCGCUCGUUGCGGGACUUAACCCAACAUCUCACGACACGAGCUGACGACAGCCAUGCAGCACCUGUGUAUCGGUUCUCUUUCGAGCACCCCAGCCUUUCAGCCAGGUUCCGACCAUGUCAAGGGUAGGUAAGGUUUUUCGCGUUGCAUCGAAUUAAUCCACAUCAUCCACCGCUUGUGCGGGUCCCCGUCAAUUCCUUUGAGUUUUAAUCUUGCGACCGUACUCCCCAGGCGGUCAACUUCACGCGUUAGCUACGUUACUAAGUCAAUGAAGACCCAACAACUAGUUGACAUCGUUUAGGGCGUGGACUACCAGGGUAUCU